rnacentral:rRNA from 1 species
UACAGAGGGUGCAAGCGUUGUUCGGAAUUAUUGGGCGUAAAGGGUGCGUAGGCGGCGCCAUAAGUCACCUGUGAAAUCUCCGGGCUUAACUCGGAGCCUGCAGGCGAAACUGUGGUGCUGGAGUGUGGGAGAGGUGCGUGGAAUUCCCGGUGUAGCGGUGAAAUGCGUAGAUAUCGGAAGGAACACCUGUGGCGAAAGCGGCUCACUGGACCAUAACUGACGCUGAGGCGCGAAAGCUAGGGGAGCAAACAGG